ensembl:lncRNA SHANK2-AS1 SHANK2 antisense RNA 1
GGGAGCUUGUCGGUAAGUCUCAUCUGGUCAAGUUCGACAACCCCCAGGUGGCAAGCUUUACGCCACAAAGCCCAUUGGACUGCAGGAAACAGGAAAGAUGGACAGCUCUAGUCCUCGGCCAGAGGCAGAGCUCGUCAGUCAGUCUCAUCUGGUCUAAUCCCACAACCGCCGAGUGGCAAGCUUUAUGCCACAGAGCCCACUGGACUGCAAGAAACAGGAGAGACCGAUGGCUCCAGCCCUGGACCAGAGGCUACUAUCCCUGUAGUACCUCUGAAAGGCCAAUCCUUGUAGCAGCCCUGAAAGGUCCAGAUGCAGCCCCUUAUUCUGCAGAGGAGGAGUCCAAGGUGGCCCACCCACAGGAGGCAGAGCUGGCCUCUGUUGCUGUAGUGGAGAAAUACUGCACCCCAAGCCACAUCAUGACACUCUUCAGCCCAGAGUGGGCAGCCUGAAGAGGAAAGACUCCAUCCCAGCAAGGAUGAAGGCUGCGGUUCCCAGGUCCUCCGUCAGCACGUAUCUCAUUUCCUGGGCACCCAAGACAGGGACCCCGGGAGGCCCUUUGGUUGGCUUUGGCGCAGCCGUGAAGGCAGUGUUCUCCCCAGGGCGCCAGGCUUCCCCAGCUCCAAGUCUGGGCGUCUGAAAUCUGCUGUGUAAUUGGAUCACGCCCGGCCCGUGCUGAGCGCCCAUCUGCGCCCGUCUUGGAAAACACAAGUCUCAGAGAAGGAAAGCAGUUGCCACAGUUCUUCGAGAUGGAAGAAUCUCAGCUCAUCACUGCGAAGGCAUGCCAGGAUUAGGAAGUCAUCAGAUGCAAGCCUGCAAGCCUCAGUGUACUCCUCAAUGUCUGCAGGGCCCACCCCAGAGAGAGGCCCCUGGGUGACCAGCCGGUGAGGAGCUUCAAGAGGAAGGAUUCACCAUCACCACCUGGAUCCUGUGUGCAGCUUUUGUCACAGCGGUGGCGAGCACAGUUUCUGCCUCCUGGGGAGAUGGGGUGUGAAGCUCACAGCACCUGCGUGUGGCUGGGCCCAACAUUAACAGCGCUGCAAGAGCUCACCUCCAUUUAUAGGAAGUGGGAAGGACCCAAGGACUGGCCGAUGACACCACAGGAGGCAGAAGGCACAUCGGGGGUUGGGGGUAGCCUAUGGCCAACCUACCCUGUCCCUCUAACAACCUACCCUGUCCCUAUAACACGUUGCUGGCAGGAAACACGGGAGAUGGCUCAGACUGGAGACCUGGGGACAUAUCUACCAAGUGCCACGUGGGUCCUGGGUCAAAGUCACCACCGUGAAAAGACAUUUCUGAGAUAAUUUGGGACAUGUGCUAAUGGAGGGGUUUCAGAUUCCACCCAGAGACCACUGCUGGGUGCGUGGAUGGGACAGUGACACUGGGGCCCGCAAGAAAGAUCCCAUGCUGUGAGAGACAGACUGAAGGGGAAGAGGGAGUGACGCGAUGCCUGGGAUUUGCUGAAGAAAAAAAAAAGAAUAAAAAGGUCCGUCUGUAUAUGGAUGGCAAGAAUUUCUUGGUAACAAAAGCACAGCCAAUAAAAGAAAAAAUAAAUACUAAGGUCGAUGAAAAUUUAAAACUUUUGUGCAUCAAAGGGCACCAUCAACAGAGCAAAAAGGCAGCUAAAGAAUGGGAGGAAAUAUUUGCAAAUCAUGUAUCUGGUAAGGGGUUAGUAUCCAGAAUGUGCAGAAAACUCUUACAACUCAACAACAGAAACAAAAAUCUAAUUUAAAAAUGGGCAAACUGGCCAGGUGAGGUGGCUCAUGCCUGUAAUCCCAGCACUUUGGGAGGCCGAGGUGGGCGGAUCACUUGAGGUCAGGAGUUCGAGACCAGACUGGCCAACAUGGCAAAACCCCAUCUCCACUAAAAUUUCAAAAAUUAGCCAGGUGUGAUGGCACGUCCCUGUAACCCCAGUUACUCGGGAGGCUGAGGCAGAAGAAUUGCUGGAACCCAGGAGGCAAAGGUCGCAGUGAGGUGAGAUCACGCCACUGCACUCUAGCCUGGGUGACAGAGUGAGACUCCGUCUCAUAAAUAAAUAAAUAAAAAUGGGUAAAGGACUUGAAUAGACAUUUCUCCAAAGAAGAGAUACAAAUGGCUGAUAAGGACUUUUCUGAAAAGAUGUUCAACACCACUAAUCAAUUAGAGAAAGGCAAAUCCAAACUACAACGGGACACCAUCUCACACCUGUUAGGAUGGCCACGAUCCUAAAACAGAAAGUAAUGACGCUGGUGAGUAUGUGGGGAAACUGGAGCCCUUGGGCACCGCUGGCAGGAAGGUAAAGUGGUGCAGCCCCUGUGGAACAUGGCAUGGCUGCUCCUCAAAACCUUAAACACAGAACGAGCACGUGAGCCAGCAAUGCCACUUCUGCAUCUAUGCCCGAAGGCAUUGACAGCGGGGUCUUGAAGAGAUAUCUGCACACCCGCGUUCACGGUGGCAGCACUAUUCAUGGUAGCUAAGAGGUGGACGCAACCUAAGUGUCCACCUACAGAUGAACAGACACACAAAAGGUGGUGUUUCCGUAGAGUUGGGAUAGUUAUCAUUCAGGCUUAAACCAGAAGGAGAUUCUGAUGCAUGCUACAACACGGAGGAACCUCGAAGGUAUUACACUGAGUGAAAUGUACCAAGCACAAAAAGAUAAAUACUGCAGGAUUCCACUGACCUGAGGUCCCUAGAGUGGUCAAAUUCAUAGGGAGAGAAAGUGGGAUGGUGGGUGCCAGGGGCCGGGGGAGGGGAUGGGGAUGAGUGUUAAUAGGGAAGAGUUUCAGUUUGGGAAGAUGAGAAGGUUCUGGAGAUGGAUGGUGGUGAUGGUGAAUGGAAAUGUACUU